rnacentral:rRNA from 1 species
UACGGAGGGAGCAAGCGUUACUCGGAAUUAUUGGGCGUAAAGGGCGCGUAGGCGAUUUGAAAAGUCUUGUGUGAAAGCCCCGAGCUUAACUCGGGAAGUGCACAAGAAACUGUUGAAUUUGAGUUCCGGAGAGGAAGGCAGAAUUCCCGGUGUAGCGGUGAAAUGCGUAGAUAUCGGGAGGAAUACCAGUGGCGAAGGCGGCCUUCUGGACGGAUACUGACGCUGAGACGCGAAAGCGUGGGGAGCGAACAGG